rnacentral:ncRNA from 2 species
AAUAAUCACUAGGGGUGUCAUAAUGACUGAGAUGAUGUAUUUUUGUCCCUUUGAACCUGAUCUAGUUUAUGCUAACGUAGGAAAGUAAACACAAAUAUUG